GGAUGGGUGGUAGAGCGGUCGAAUACACCGGUCUUGAAAACCGGCAACGGGGCAACCCGUUCGUGGGUUCGAAUCCCACCCCAUCCGCCA
rnacentral:tRNA from 1 species